GCAUGUGCCACCAUCAUCUGGCAGCAUGUUGCAAUUUUAUUGGCCCCCUCUCCCUGAUGCCAGUUUACCAAUCAUGUGGUCACAUAAGCAGGAACAGAUCAAGUGGAAAACCUUCCUGGGUAAAUCUCAGAUCCCUUUCCUUCCCCAGGGGUGAGAACUGAGCUACAGCCAGGGCCUGAGCAAUCAUUGAGCCUGCACAUCUCAGACGAGAACUUGGACUGCUCUCAAGUGGAAAGACCUCCCCUCCCACCCAGUCUUCUCUUCCAUGGAUCUUCCCAUUCCUUUCCAAGAUGGUGACCAGCAUGUCCAUUAAGCUUUAUCGUGAGUCAAAAUGAACUUGGGUUUUGCUUUUGCCUGGAGUGCCUCCUGUCACAAGCAUGCAGAAAUUCGUGAUGGAGAUAAGGGCAGGAAACUGGAGCAGUGUGGAGAACUAUGCAUGCAGCCUAGAAGUGGAGGGGGCACCUCAGGCACAGGACUGUCCAGGAGGUCUUGGUUCCCUGGGACUGGGAUGGAGACUGGAAACCUGAGAAAGUGGAGGAGCGGUGGGGCCGAGGACAAGCACUCGUGGGUCUUCUUGGCGAGUCACUUCACUUUUCCUGUAUCAGUUCCCCAGGUAAUUCUGAGGGACUUAAUAAGGACUGAGAACCACUGCCCAGAAUUUCUGAUGUACUAGGGAGGCAUGGGACCUCCUCCCUCCCUCCUGUCACCCUUCUGAAGCCAUUUGCACAAUUCACAGAUGGAAAAACCUCAGAAGACCGGGAGACUGCAAGUGACACAUUCAGGUACUUGACGCAGCACAUUCUGUUUUCAAUCAGCAGACUUUAAGCUUUGAAACCUUUUACAAUUACAAGAAGACCUGAGUGAAAAAUAGAAAGUUCUCAAGUUCCUUUCCCACCCCCAGGUCUGUGAUUAUGAGCUGCUGUCAGCAGUGGGACACACUGCUACACCAGAGAAGAAAGCAGUAAUACAUUAUUUUCAAGUCCACAGUUUACAGUAGAGUUCAGUGUUUGUGUUCUUU